rfam:Triticum urartu cultivar G1812 contig694586, whole genome shotgun sequence.
AUUCUACUCCCUCCGUUGCACAAUACAUGCCUUCUAUUUGUCAAAAUAUAUAUGUAUCUAGACAUGUUUUAGUAUAUAGGUACAUCCAUUUUUGGACAAAUUGGAGUCAAGUAUUUUGGAAUGGAGGGAUUACACA